AAGAAAAUAAGUAAGAGCGUAUGGAGGAUGCCUAGGCUCUCAGAGGCGAAGAAGGACGUGCUAAGCUGCGAAAAGCUUGGGGGAGUUGCACAGAAGCUGUGAUCCCAAGAUCUCCGAAUGGGGCAACCCGGCUACUUGAAGAGUAGUCACACCUUAGGGUGGGCAAACCCGCUGAACUGAAACAUCUAAGUAGGCGGAGGAAGAGAAAAUAAGUUAAUGAUUGCGCAAGUAGUGGCGAGCGAACGCGCAAGAGCCCAAACCAGUACUGUUACGGCAGUGCUGGGGUUGUAGGACCUCACCAUCGACGAAGUAUCUGAACUGGAAGGAGCUGGAAAGCUCCACCAUAGGGGGUGAUAGUCCCGUACAGGUAAAGUUACCAGUCGUAGAGUGUUCCUGAGUAAGGCGGGACCGGCGAAAUCCUGUCUGAAUCUGGCAGCACCAUCUGCCAAGGCUAAAUACUCCUGAGAGACCGAUAGUGAACUAGUACCGUGAGGGAAAGGUGAAAAGUACUCCGAAUAGGAGGGUGAAAUAGUACCUGAAACCAUACGCUUACAAGCGGUCGGAGCCCAUUCGUUGGGUGACGGCGUGCCUUUUGCAUAAUGAGCCUACGAGUUACUCCUCACUGGCAAGGUUAAGUGCUUGGAAGCACGUAGCCGGAGCGAAAGCGAGUCUGAACAGGGCGCCCAGAGUCAGUGGGGGUAGACGCGAAACCUUGUGAUCUACCCUUGGUCAGGUUGAAGGUGCGGUAACACGCACUGGAGGACCGAACCAGUAAACGUUGAAAAGUUUUUGGAUGAACUGAGGGUAGGGGUGAAAGGCCAAUCAAACUGGGAAAUAGCUCGUACUCCCCGAAAUGCUUUUAGGAGCAGCGUGGUGGUUUGAGUAUGACAGAGGUAGAGCUACCGAUUGGACUAGGGGGAGUCACAUCCUACCAAAUCCAGACGAACUCCGAAUGCUGAUCAUAUAUACACUGCAGUGAGGGCUUGGGUGCUAAGGUCCGAGUCCAAAAGGGAAACAACCCAGAUCAACAGCUAAGGUCCCUAAAUCUACACUAAGUUGAACUAAGGCGGUUCAGUUGCACAGACAGCCAGGAUGUUGGCUUGGAAGCAGCCAUUCAUUUAAAGAGUGCGUAACAGCUCACUGGUCGAGCGACAGAGCAUCGAUAAUAAUCGGGCAUCAAGUGUAGUACCGAAGCUUUGAAUUAGAGAUUUACGUCUCUAGUGGUAGGGGAGCAUUCCAAUCUGGCUGUGAAGGUGUGGCGUAAGCCAUGCUGGAGCGUUUGGAAAAGCAAAUGUAGGCAUAAGUAACGAUAAUGCAGGCGAGAAACCUGCACACCGAUAGACUAAGGUUUCCUGAGCAAUGCUAAUCAGCUCAGGGUUAGUCGGGGCCUAAGGCAAACCCGAAGGGGGUAGUCGAUGGAUAACGGGUUAAUAUUCCCGUACUGACUGUAAUGAGUGAUGGGGUGACGAAGGCGUGUAACCCUUGCGCACUGACGGAAUAGUGCGUUAAAGGCCGUAGGUAGACUCACCGUAGGAAAAUCCGCGGAGAGUGCUGAAAGCUGAUAGUACUCCAAGGCUUCGGCUGCGGAGAUAAUGGGGCCAAACAUACUUCCAAGAAAACCCUCUAAGCGUUUACAUUACAGCCACCCGUACCGCAAACCGACACAGGUAGUCAAGUGGCAAUCCACUAAGGUGCUCGAGUGAUUCAUGGUUAAGGAACUAGGCAAAUUAGACCUGUAACUUCGGAAGAAGGGUCGCUCCGCAGGAAUGCGGAGCCGCAGUGAAUAGGUCCAGGCGACUGUUUAACAAAAACACAGGGCUCUGCGAAAUCGAAAGAUGAAGUAUAGGGCCUGACACCUGCCCGGUGCUGGAAGGUUAAGGGGGGAUGUUAGGGGGUAACCUCGAAGCAUUGAACUGAAGCCCCAGUAAACGGCGGCCGUAACUAUAACGGUCCUAAGGUAGCGAAAUUCCUUGUCGGGUAAGUUCCGACCUGCACGAAUGGUGUAACGAUCUGGACACUGUCUCAACCAUGAGCUCGGUGAAAUUGUAGUCGCGGUGAAGAUGCCGCGUACCCGUCACGGGACGGAAAGACCCCAUGAACCUUUACUAUAACUUCACAUUGACAUUGGGCAACAGAUGUGUAGGAUAGGCCGGAAGCUAUGAAGCGGCGUCGCCAGGCGUCGUGGAGCUAACCUUGAAAUACGGCCCUUCUGUUGCUUGAUGCCUAACCAGCCAAGCUGGGACAUUGUGUGGUGGGUAGUUUGACUGGGGUGGUCGCCUCCAAAAGCGUAACGGAGGCUUCCAAAGGUACCCUCAGCACGAUUGGUAACCGUGCGCGGAGUGUAUUAGCACAAGGGUGCUUGACUGUGAGACUUACAAGUCGAUCAGGUGCGAAAGCAGGGUAAAGUGAUCCGGUGGUUCCGUAUGGAAGGGCCAUCGCUCAAAGGAUAAAAGGUACUCUGGGGAUAACAGGCUGAUCUCCCCCAAGAGCUCACAUCGACGGGGAGGUUUGGCACCUCGAUGUCGGCUCGUCACAUCCUGGGGCUGGAGAAGGUUCCAAGGGUUGGGCUGUUCGCCCAUUAAAGUGGCACGCGAGCUGGGUUCAGAACGUCGUGAGACAGUUCGGUCCCUAUCUGUGAUGGGCGCUGGAAGUUUGAGAGGACCUGAUUUUAGUACGAGAGGACCGAAUUGGACAUGCCGCUGGUCUGCCGGUUGUUCCGCCAGGAGCAUAGCCGGGUAGCUACGCAUGGACGAGAUAAGCGCUGAAAGCAUCUAAGCGCGAAACUCACCUCAAGAUGAGACUUCCUUCAAAGGGUCGUUGUAGACCACAACGUUGAUAGGCUGCAGGUACAAGCGGUGCGAGCCGUGUAGCUGAGCAGUACUAAUUGCCCGAAAUAGUUUUCUUUA
rfam:Cesiribacter andamanensis AMV16 contig000217, whole genome shotgun sequence.